GAUCCUGGCUCAGGAUGAACGCUAGCUACAGGCUUAACACAUGCAAGUCGAGGGGAAACGAUAUUGGAAGCUUGCUUCCGAUAGGCGUCGACCGGCGCACGGGUGAGUAACGCGUAUCCAACCUGCCCACCACUUGGGGAUAACCUUGCGAAAGUAAGACUAAUACCCAAUGAUAUCUCUAGAAGACAUCUGAAAGAGAUUAAAGAUUUAUCGGUGUACGAUGGGAUGCGUUCCAUUAGGUAGUAGG
rnacentral:rRNA from 1 species